CUGGCUCAGAACGAACGCUGGCGGCGCGUUUAAGCAUGCAAGUCGAGCGGCAAGAGCCUUCGGGCCCUAGAGCGGCGGACGGGUGAGUAACACGUGGACAAUCUGCCCCCCGGCCCGGGAUAGCCCAGGGAAACCUGGAUUAAUACCGGAUGAGACGGGACCCGCGAUGGCGGGAUCCGGGAAAGGCGCUGCGGCGCCGCCGGGGGAUGAGUCUGCGUCCCAUUAGCUAGACGGCGGGGUAACGGCCCACCGUGGCGACGAUGGGUAGCCGGCCUGAGAGGGUGGACGGCCACAUUGGAACUGAGACACGGUCCAGACUCCUACGGGAGGCAGCAGCUAAGAAUCUUCCGCAAUGGGCGAAAGCCUGACGGAGCCGACGCCGCGUGAACGAAGAAGGCCGUGAGGUUGUAAAGUUCUUUUCGGGAGGGGGAACAACCGUGGCAGGGAAUGGCCGCGGGAUGACGUGAAUCCCGGAAUAAGCCCCGGCUAACUACGUGCCAGCCGCCGC
rnacentral:rRNA from 1 species